AGAAAAAUACACUCGUCUACAACAAAUCAGCAGCGUAAGAGCCAGCAUCUGAUAGUCCGAAAAGAGCGUCCAAAACGUUAAACAACCAAUCCUCAACACUUUCAGAAUCAACAAGAUGAGCGUUACAAUGAUUUUGGCAUGGUUAAGAAUGAAUCUUCGCAAAAAGAAGUGCAUCCUUCUCCAUUUAACCAUCACAAAAACCAAUAAAUGAGUCGUUUUCUAUCAUUUUUGCCUCGUGGCCUUGCCAUGAGUGAGUGGAUCAUAGCAGUCGUCUCCUCACACGCACAAAUCAUUAAUCAAAAAUCAAAACAAUAACACAAAACAAAAAACAAAACAAAACAAAACAUGGCGAUUAUCACCCACAGCUUCGAUGAGUGAGAAGAAAGCAAGACAGUGAUGAUGGAAAACAAAACAAUUUCCUCACCGUGUAGAAAAAGCGGCAUUCACCUGCAAGCCCAGGCAAUCAGAGAAGGAAUCAAAGAGUGGGGAUCGAUGGAGAGAUAGAAUUAAAAAGAAUUGGUGGGUUGCAAAGGGUAACGAAGGUGGAGUUGCAGGGAGUGAGAGCCAGAGAUCCGAAGGAGUAGCUGCCAUAUCCAAUCUGGGCAGCAGUGUUCUCCCAGCAAGGUCACAGCUUCGUACACUUCUGGAGUUGGGCGGCAGCAUAACCAGAGGUUUUCACCCCCUUUGUAAGGACGAAAACGUGCACAUAGCUGCGUGGGGCAUUGAUGCUGCAGCUUAUACUUAUAAUAGCUUGCAAUCCUCGUUUCUUAAUUGCUUCGAUAUCGGUACCCAGUUCCUCUCUCUCUUUGUGCAGGAUCAGUCCCUGGUUGGGAUACCUCCACCCUCUUCUCACUCUCAAGCAGGCUCCGUGGUUUCUGAUGGAGGACUGCGGGAGUAGUGUUUCAGUUACUCCACUCUCUACGUCCUGAUUAAGUGUAAAUCUUCAAAGCCAUCAUUCACUUUCUACACUGACUUGCGGCGUCGGGUGUUGUAUCACUUGUAUUACGGAAAACAUACAGUGCGACUCAGGUAUUUUUGGGGGUUUCGAGGGCAUAAUCCCCUCUCCGGACGAAGUCAGCUUGUGGACUGGUAUGUCUGAUCUGGUCGAACCUAUCUGGACCAACGUCUCCGCUACUCCGGACCAGGUUGGGGGUUUCGAGAACGUACGACAUGAGGAAAAUGGUCACUGACGUUUUUUUCAUCUCCGAGGGCAUAAAGGUGAGGUGCUACGACGAAGAGUUAGGAAGCAUGUAGGUCAUCUUUGCUCGAAGUCUGAUCAUGCCGUUGAAAUCUACAAGGUUAUUCACGAAAUGCUUAAGCUAAAAAGACAGAAUUGCAAGGUCCGUCCCAGUAUCACUAUUCUUGAAACCUUCAUGUGGUGUCGUAAAGUGAUGGUUGAGAUGCCUCGGUCUUGUGUCUAUUUUUAAGCUGAUUUUAGAUGGACGAACUUGAGAUGCAUCGUGUCUUUCCGAUAAACCAGCAGAAACCUCCUCAAGGUUAGGCAGAAACGAAAGAAUGCUGCAGACGUUGAAUUCAAACAAUCGCAUGCCGCAUUACGAACAGUCUAUGUUGCUCAAUUCUGUUUGGUAAUGAUUUCAUGUUGAACUUUUGGGCCUUCUAGGGCAUGAGGGCAUGACUUGACUUGACAGUGGAAGUUCGCCUGAUGAGAAAAUUGAAGGGUUUUAUCCUUGUCUUUUUGUUUUCCUUUGCUGUGCAUGUAAUCAUGCGGAAGUUUCUUGCAUUUGAUAAAAAUGUUGGACUCUCUAAACGCAGUACGACAUGACAACUUUAAAUCUCUUCCUUACAUGUAUGCUUACGGUGAACUGUUAGCAAGUGUAUGCUGCAGCUCAAAAUGUGUUUCCUUUUUGCCUAUCUCUGGUUAGAGUCAACUGCAAAUUCACAAUGUAGCAUGUGCGACGAACCUUAUUCCUUCUUUGUUGAAUUCUAACACCUUUAUAAUGCGGUCGUUUCUUCAUUGUGGAUGGUCGAUGUUCGCAGGCAUGAAUUAUCGGCUGGGAUAUAUUGCAACUAAGAAUUAAACAAAAUGACUGACCGUUCAGCAACUCAUGAAAUCAAUGGGGAAUAUUGGACCUGCCUGGCUCCUUGUAUGCCAUCUGCGAAGCUUGACAAAACUAUUGCCAGGGUACAUAGCUGCCAUGCAGGGAGUCAGACAGACCGUACGUCUUCCCAGAUUUACAUGCACCCCUCGUCAUCAUCCCUGUGUUUUGAGGUACUGUUCAAAACUCUAGUUCCAUGAUCUUCAUGUUUGUGCAUUAGAAUAUGAUUCGUAGGAUCUGUGGAUAGUUUCAGCUUAAGAUCUGAGUUUCUGUGUCUGGUAUUCAUCACUGCGGUUGUCAUGCUACCAGUGGCAUGCGCCAUGCAACUUAAACUUCUAAGGCUAUAAGUUCGGGAACUGUGAGCAAGAGCAUACUGCAGCUCAACGCAAACAGAGAAUUAAAACCCAAUCAUUAGCGAAUAGAUCGUUUGAAGAUGAGAUGUCGCUGCUAGUUGGAUAAUUUAGAAGAAAUUUCACAUGACUUUUCAUAUCCUUGAAUCCUUACACAUGAAAAGCAUCUGAUUUUUAGAUCGAAGAUAGUUUUACAUACUCUGACUUGUACUCUUCAUAUCUUAGAGUUAACGUUUAGAGAAAAUAGGGGAAAAAUGCUACACUAGAAGGUAUCAGUCCAAGCAGCGAGAUUUGUUUCAUGAUUCAAAUAUCACAUAUAAUGUGUUAACUUCUCCACGUUGUGUUCUUUAAAAAUAGAAUGGACCGUGUCUCUAUCCUAAAAUAAUUUUCUUUAAUUAUCGUUUU